rnacentral:rRNA from 1 species
UACAGAGGGUGCAAGCGUUAAUCGGAAUUACUGGGCGUAAAGCGUGCGUAGUCGGUUAUUUAAGUCGGGCGUGAAAGCCCCGGGCUCAACCUGGGAAUUGCGUUCGAUACUGGAUAGCUAGAGUUCGGCAGAGGGAAGCGGAAUUUCGGGUGUAGCGGUGAAAUGCGUAGAUAUCUGGAGGAACACCGGUGGCGAAGGCGGCAUCCUGGACCGGCAUUGACGCUGAGGCGCGAAAGCGUGGGGAGCAAACAGG